UGAAUUGGUACAUACUACCUCCGUUUCACAAUGUAAAUCAUUUUAGUAUUUUCCAUAUUUAUAUUGAUAUUAAUGAACCUAGAUAGAUAUAUAUGUGUCUAGAUUCAUUAACAUCAAUAUGAAUGUGGGAAAUGCUAGAAUGACUUACAUUGUGAAACGGAGGAAGUAUAUGCUAUUUUG
rnacentral:misc_RNA from 1 species